rnacentral:rRNA from 1 species
AACACANGCAAGUCGAACGGGCUCUUCGGAGCUAGUGGCGGACGGGUGAGGAACGCGUGAGAACCUGCCCCAAGGUCGGGGACAACAGUUGGAAACGACUGCUAAUACCGGAUGAGCCGAAUAGGUAAAAGAUUUAUCGCCUAGAGAGGGGCUCGCGUCUGAUUAGCUAGAUGGUGAGGUAAAGGCUUACCAUGGCGACGAUCAGUAGCUGGUCUGAGAGGAUGAGCAGCCACACUGGGACUGAGACACGGCCCAGACUCCUACGGGAGGCAGCAGUGGGGAAUUUUCCGCAAUGGGCGAAAGCCUGACGGAGCAAUACCGCGUGAGGGAGGAAGGCUCUUGGGUUGUAAACCUCAAAACUUAGGGAAGAAAAAAAUGACGGUACCUAAUGUAAGCAUCGGCUAACUCCGUGCCAGCAGCCGCGGUAAUACGGAGGAUGCAAGCGUUAUCCGGAAUCAUUGGGCGUAAAGAGUCCGUAGGUGGCACUUCAAGUCUGCUUUCAAAGACCGAAGCUCAACUUCGGAAAGGGAGUGGAAACUGAAGAGCUAGAGUAUAGUAGGGGUAGAGGGAAUUCCUAGUGUAGCGGUGAAAUGCGUAGAGAUUAGGAAGAACACCAGUGGCGAAGGCGCUCUACUGGGCAUAUACUGACACUGAGGGACGAAAGCUAGGGGAGCGAAAGGGAUUAGAUACCCCUGUAGUCCUAGCGGUAAACGAUGGAUACUAGGCGUAGUGCUGUUAGAAGGACUGUGCCGAAGCUAACGCGUUAAGUAUCCCGCCUGGGGAGUACGCACGCAAGUGUGAAACUCAAAGGAAUUGACGGGGGACCCGCACAAGCGGUGGAGUAUGUGGUUUAAUUCGAUGCAACGCGAAGAACCUUACCAAGGCUUGACAUCCUGCGAAUCUUGGAGAAAUCUGAGAGUGCCUAAGGGAACGCAGAGACAGGUGGUGCAUGGCUGUCGUCAGCUCGUGUCGUGAGAUGUUGGGUUAAGUCCCGCAACGAGCGCAACCCUCGUCCUUAGUUGCCAGCAUUAAGUUGGGGACUCUAGGGAGACCGCCGGGGAGAACUCGGAGGAAGGUGGGGAUGACGUCAAGUCAGCAUGCCCCUUACGUCUUGGGCUACACACGUACUACAAUGGUUGGGACAAAGGGGAGCGAAACCGCGAGGUGGAGCGAAUCUCAUCAAACCCAGCCACAGUUCAGAUUGCAGGCUGAAACUCGCCUGCAUGAAGGAGGAAUCGCUAGUAAUCGCAGGUCAGCAUACUGCGGUGAAUCCGUUCCCGGGUCUUGUACACACCGCCCG